rfam:Gossypium raimondii chromosome 9, whole genome shotgun sequence.
AUCCCAUGAUGAGGACACUUACGAAGUAACUCAUUCAAUCGCUCCCAAGCCUUAUACAAAGACUCAUCAUCCAAUUGUUGGAAAAUUGUGGUCUCGUUCCUUAACUU